UCAAACAGCCGUUGGACACAAAUGGAAUCGGAUCCUGGGACGAGUGACCUCUGAACCAUUAUUAUUCAGAGAAACAUCCCAAAGCUCUCCACAGAGAUGGGAGAAGAAUGGACACUGAUCCAAAGUGAAGCCACAACAAUCCCCUUACAUUGACGUUGCCAGCUAUGAAAUGUAUAUGAUGGGAUAUUUGAGCAUUCCUUCUCUCAUGCUAAAGUAUAACAGCUACAAUCACAGUGAUUAGUGGAGCAAAUGGUUUUCGAACAGUUGGAAGUUUAUUUCACAAAGGAAAAUGGAUCAUGUUCAUAUAACCUGUAAUUUCAGGACCAUAUAUUUUCGUCAAGUUCUCAUGAUAAUUAGUCAUCUGUAUGAUAUAUUAAUGUAAAUUCCCCUAAAGUAAAUAAGGGAGGUUGUGAAGGAGAUAUGAUAAAUGGCUCUGAUGAUUAAUGAGGGACUUCUCUCAUUGUGAAUGAGCACCAAGAUAAAACACAUGGGGUCAAGAUCACAUCUUAUGGAAUCAGUGAUAAAUGUGUUAACGUAUUCAUAUCAAACUAUUCGUUUUGCACCUUAGCUGAAGCCAGUGCAUAAUGCCAAACAGGUUAACUCCUUUAUUCUGAUAGAAAUGUCAUAUCAAUGCAUUAGUUAUAAUAUAAGGAAAAUAUGAACGUGGACACUGAAUGAAAUUAAUCAAGAUAUAGCUGGAAAAUGCUGACGAUGCAGGUGAUGGGCUAAGGAUGCAUCACACUUCUCAAUCUUCUCCUGAAGCUGCUAAUUUCACACUGGGCUAUAGGUCCACAGACACUGGAGGCCUCAUCAUACUGCAGCCGAUAAGAACAGUUCUGUUCUCAUGGCAAAACACUGGUGGGAAUUGCAGCUGUAAAACUGUCUGGCCAAGUCUG